UACAGAGGGUGCGAGCGUUAAUCGGAAUUACUGGGCGUAAAGCGCGCGUAGGCGGCUUUGCAAGUCGGGUGUGAAAUCCCCAGGCUUAACCUGGGAACUGCAUUCGAGACUGCAUUGCUAGAGUAUGGGAGAGGGAAGUGGAAUUUCCGGUGUAGCGGUGAAAUGCGUAGAUAUCUGGAGGAACACCGGUGGCGAAGGCGGCAUCCUGGACCGAGAUUGACGCUGAUGCGCGAAAGCCAGGGGAGCAAACGGG
rnacentral:rRNA from 1 species